rnacentral:rRNA from 1 species
UACGUCCUCGUCCCACAGCAAGGGGAAAGAGGAAAGCUAUUCCGUCUCCCUCUCUCGAGGUUGCCGCCUCCUCCGCCUCCGCUAACGAAGACAAGUACCGCUAAGGCUCGAGUAGGUAGCGUCCUAAAACUAAAGAAGAGGAACAAAAGAAGCAGGCGGCCGACGGGACCAUCAUAGAGUUACUCAUGUGACGUAUUUCAGACAGCGUUCCUACAAGGGGAUGAAAGAAGUGAGCUCUCGCGACUAAGAAACUUGCUAGGAAUACACGGAUUACUAAAACGACUACUACCAAGAUCACGAUACAGAAACCAACAGGACCACUACUACUUCUCAAACUAUUUCGUGAAAUGUUAAAGAUACACUUAUUAUUUCAGUUCAUGGACUUCUCUUUUAAUAGUAGACGACCGUCUUCCUUACAAACAUUAGGACAGUCCACGAAAACUGCCCAGUUACUUCCUGUCAUCCCCGCUGACCAAGUUGGUAAGACAGUUACAAUCAGCGAACUGCCCAGUGUUGAUGUCGGGCUGGGCAAAAGAAGUCCUUUUUGUCUGUAUGUUGACAGUUGUCUAGUAACCAACCUUUUAAAUUUACUAUUGGUUAAUGUUUAGUCAGCUAACAACUUAUCUGUCAGGGGUAACGUUUUCAUGAAACAAAAGGAAGGACUGGACUCUGGUACCGGAAAAACCCACGAUAGGAAAAAAUAACACUGUAGUAGUUCAUGAUAUAGACGAUGGAGAGUAUUCGAGCACGAUGAAGUCUAAAAAAAAACCUCUUCCAUAUCAGUUCG